CCUACUGGAGGCAGCAGUAGGGAAUCUUCCACAAUGGGCGAAAGCCUGAUGGAGCAACGCCGCGUGGGUGAAGAAGGUCUUCGGAUCGUAAAACCCUGUUGUUAGAGAAGAAAGUGCGUGAGAGUAACUGUUCACGUUUCGACGGUAUCUAACCAGAAAGCCACGGCUAACUACGUGCCAGCAGCCGCGGUAAUACGGGGGGUGCAAGCGUUGUCCGGAAUCAUUGGGCGUAAAGAGUUCGUAGGCGGCACGUAAAGUCUGGUGUUAAAGGCAGAGGCUCAACUUCUGUACGGCACUGGAUACUUGCGAGCUAGAAUGCGGUAGAGGUAAAGGGAAUUCCGGGUGUAGCGGUGAAAUGCUUAGAUAUCAGGAGGAACAUCGGUGGCGUAAGCGCUUUACUGGGCCGUAAUUGACGCUGAGGAACGAAAGCCAGGGUAGCAAAUGGGAUUAGAUACCCUUGUAGUC
rnacentral:rRNA from 1 species